AGCGAACAUUGGCGGUAGGCUUAACACAUGCAAGUCGAGCGAGGCUUCGAGCCGAGCGGCGAACGGGCGAGUAAGACAUGGGGAUCUGCCCUGGAGUGUAGGACAACCGGCAGAAAUGCUGGCUAAUACGACAUAAUCAACAUCGGGAAAGCGCGCAGCGCACUAGGAUGAGCCCAUGCUGGAUUAGCUAGUUGGUGGGGUAACGGCGCACCAAGGCGACGAUCAGUAGCUGGUCUGAGAGGAUGAUCAGCCAAACUGGAACUGAGACACGGUCCAGACUCCUACGGGAGGCAGCAGUGGGGAAUCUUGCGCAAUGGGGGCAACCCUGACGCAGCCAUACCGCGUGUGUGAUGAAGGUCUUCGGAUUGUAAAGCACUUUCAGUGGGGACGACAAUGACGGUACCCACAGAAGAAGUCACGGCUAACUUCGUGCCAGCCGCCGCGGUAA
rnacentral:rRNA from 1 species